AUCUAGGAGUGGGGGAAGCGAGGGGUUUCGCGUCGCUCAGACGCGCAACUAGUUGGAAGCCAAGCGCGUCAGUUUUGUAAAGUUCUCCAAGCGGUGGAGUUGUAAGUAUUAUCUUACCAAAAUGGCAAGAAAGGCAUUGAAGGAUGCAAAGGACAAUAUAGAGAGAGUUUUGAAUUCAGGAAAAGUGGCGGAUCUGGCUGGCGAGGCCAAAA